rnacentral:rRNA from 1 species
AACGAACGCUGGCGGCAUGCCUAACACAUGCAAGUCGAACGAGACCUUCGGGUCUAGUGGCGCACGGGUGCGUAACGCGUGGGAACCUGCCCUUAGGUUCGGAAUAACUCCCCGAAAGGGGUGCUAAUACCGGAUAAUGUCUUCGGACCAAAGAUUUAUCGCCUUUGGAUGUGCCCGCGUUGGAUUAGCUAGUUGGUAGGGUAAAAGCCUACCAAGGCGACGAUCCAUAGCUGGUCUGAGAGGAUGAUCAGCCACACUGGGACUGAGACACGGCCCAGACUCCUACGGGAGGCAGCAGUGGGGAAUAUUGGACAAUGGGCGAAAGCCUGAUCCAGCAAUGCCGCGUGAGUGAUGAAGGCCUUAGGGUUGUAAAGCUCUUUUACCCGGGAUGAUAAUGACAGUACCGGGAGAAUAAGCUCCGGCUAACUCCGU